rnacentral:rRNA from 1 species
GCCGCGUGUGUGAAGAAGGUCUUCGGAUUGUAAAGCACUUUAAGUUGGGAGGAAGGGCAGUAAGUUAAUACCUUGCUGUUUUGACGUUACCGACAGAAUAAGCACCGGCUAACUUCGUGCCAGCAGCCGCGGUAAUACGAAGGGUGCAAGCGUUAAUCGGAAUUACUGGGCGUAAAGCGCGCGUAGGUGGUUUGAUAAGUUGGAUGUGAAAGCCCCGGGCUCAACCUGGGAAUUGCAUCCAAAACUGUCUGACUAGAGUAUGGCAGAGGGUGGUGGAAUUUCCUGUGUAGCGGUGAAAUGCGUAGAUAUAGGAAGGA